rnacentral:rRNA from 1 species
UACGUAGGGUGCGAGCGUUAAUCGGAAUUACUGGGCGUAAAGCGUGCGCAGGCGGUUCGCUAAGACAGGUGUGAAAUCCCCGGGCUUAACCUGGGAAUGGCGCUUGUGACUGGCGGGCUUGAGUACGGCAGAGGGAGGUGGAAUUCCACGUGUAGCAGUGAAAUGCGUAGAUAUGUGGAGGAACACCGAUGGCGAAGGCAGCCUCCUGGGCCAGUACUGACGCUCAUGCACGAAAGCGUGGGGAGCAAACAGG